CCUACAUACUCCCAAAAAGAGCAUAAGAAAAUCCAAAAAGGACCACCUGUAAAACUUAGGCAACUUUGGCUUUAUUUAAUGAAACUAAUUAUUUUUACAAAAAAAGGGGUCUUGGCUGCCGUCUUUACCAAUUGAACCCUUUUUCCAUUUCUCUUGUCUCUCCCCUCACUUCUAUCUUCUUCAAUAGCAUCUUAAAUAUCCCCUAAAGAGGUGUAUUACCUCCAAAAGCAAGAAGACUCAUUAGAAGCUCUUUCAAGUUACUAUCAUAUAUUGUUGAAAAGUCAAUUUUUUUAUAAAGAAAAUGAAGCAGCAUAGCAUAUAUAACCUGCAGGUCCAUGUUUGAUUGGAAUUGGGGUGGGAAGACAAUGCAUUGAUGGAGUUCAUGGGGGCCUGGCUAGUGAAGGGAAAUUGAGUAGUGAUGAAAGAGUGGUUCAAGUACUGCAAAUAUUAAUGACAAAGUGAGUGAAUUAUGUAGUUGUCAAAUGCUACUAGACACUAGUACUACCAUAUAAUUGUUACAAUUAGUAGAUAGUUAUUAUUAAUGAUUAGUUGAAUGUUGGUUAUAUUAGCUACUUUAAGAUUAUUAUAUAAAUGUAUUUUAUAUUUAUUGUAAUUAACUUUUUCAUUCUAUUAAUUUGUAAUCAUCUUUUUUAUUAAUUUA